UGGUUUUGGAGAGCGAAAGAGUCAGUACCUUGAUGACAUUGCUAUUUUAACUGGAGGAACUGUUAUAAGAGAUGAGGUGGGCCUUGCCUUGGACAAAGUUGAUAAGGAGGUCCUGGGUCAUGCUUCCAAGGUGGUACUUACCAAGGAUACUACUACCAUUGUGGGUGAUGGAAGUACCCAAGAAGCAGUAAACAAGAGAGUUGUGCAAAUAAGAAAUCU
rnacentral:misc_RNA from 1 species